AAACUUGAGAGUUUGAUCAUGGCUCAGAACGUACGCUGGCGGCACGCCUAACACAUGCAAGUCGAACGAAGUAGCAAUACUUAGUGGCAGACGGGUGAGUAACAUGUAGGUAUCUGCCCUUUGGCCUGGAAUAACACGAGGAAACUUGUGCUAAUACCGGAUAAGUCUUUACGGAGAAAGCUUUAUGCACCAUUGGAUGAGCCUGCACUUGAUUAGUUUGUUGGUGGGGUAAUGGCCUACCAAGACUGUGAUCAAUAGCUGAUUUGAGAGGAUGAUCAGCCACAUUGGGACUGAGACACGGCCCAAACUCCUACGGGAGGCAGCAGUGGGGAAUCUUGCACAAUGGAGGAAACUCUGAUGCAGCGAUGCCGCGUGAGUGAAGAAGGCCCUUGGGUUGUAAAGCUCUUUCGUCGGGGAAGAAAAUGACUGUACCCGAAUAAGAAGGUCCGGCUAACUUCGUGCCAGCAGCCGCGGUAAUACGAAGGGACCUAGCGUAGUUCGGAAUUACUGGGCUUAAAGAGUUCGUAGGUGGUUGAAAUAGUUGGUGGUGAAAUCCCAGAGCUUAACUCUGGAACUGCCAUCAAAACUUUUCAGCUAGAGUAUGAUAGAGGAAAGCAGAAUUUCUAGUGUAGAGGUGAAAUUCGUAGAUAUUAGAAAGAAUACCAAUUGCGAAGGCAGCUUUCUGGAUCAUUACUGACACUGAGGAACGAAAGCAUGGGUAGCGAAGAGGAUUAGAUACCCUCGUAGUCCAUGCCGUAAACGAUGUGUGUUAGACGUUGGAAAUUUAUUUUCAGUGUCGCAGGGAAACCGAUAAACACACCGCCUGGGGAGUACGACCGCAAGGUUAAAACUCAAAUGAAUUGACGGGGACCCGCACAAGUAGUGGAGCAUGUGGUUUAAUUCGAAGAUACGCGCAGAACCUUACCAACACUUGACAUGUUCGUCGCGACUCUAAGAGAUUAGAGUUUUCGGUUCGGCCGGACGAAACACAGGUGCUGCAUGGCUGUCGUCAGCUCGUGUCGUGAGAUGUUGGGUUAAGUCCCGCAACGAGCGCAACCCUCACUUUUAGUUGCCAUCAUUAAGUUGGGCACUCUGAAAGAACUGCCAGUGAUAAGCUGGAGGAAGGUGGGGAUGACGUCAAGUCCUCAUGGCCCUUACGUGUUGGGCUACACACGUGCUACAAUGGUAUCUACAACAGGAAGCAAAACUGCGAAGUUAAGCAAAUCCCUAAAAGAUACCUCAGUUCGGAUUGCACUCUGCAACUCGAGUGCAUGAAGCUGGAAUUACUAGUAAUCGUGGAUCAGCGUGCCACGGUGAAUGCGUUCCCGGGUCUUGUACACACCGCCCGUCACACCAUGGGAGUUGGUUCUACCUUAAGGCAAGGUUUCAAACCCUUGACCACGGUAUAGUCAGCGACUGGGGUGAAGUCGUAACAAGGUAGCCGUAGGGGAACCUGCGGCUGGAUUACCUCCUUU
rnacentral:rRNA from 1 species